CGCCUGUUUAUCAAAAACAUAGCUUCUAGCUCAACAAGUAUUAGAAGUACCGCCUGCCCUGUGGAAUCCUAAACGGCCGCGGCAUUAAAACCGUGCAAAGGUAGCACAAUCACUUGUCCCUUAAAUGAGGACGCGUAUGAAAGGCAACAUGAGAGAAGACCUGUCUCCUAAGGACUGCCAAUGAAAUUGAACUACCAGUUCAAAAGCUGGUAUUAAAAAGCAAGACAAAAAGACCCUGUGGAGCUUUAAUUAACUGCUUUACACAAUAAAACCAGUAAUUUCAGUUGGGACAACUUUAGAAAAAAUAAACUUCCUAUCUACCAAGACUAACUAGUCCACAAACACAUCACGACCCAGUAACACUGAUUAACGAAACAAGCUACCCCAGGGAUAACAGCGCCACCUUCUCAAAGAGUUCAUAUCAACAAGAAGACCUACGACCUCGAUGUUGGAUCAGGGUACCCAGACGGUGUAGCAGCUGUCAACGGUUCGUUUGUUCAACGAUUAAUACCCUACGUGAUCUGAGUUCAGACCGG
rnacentral:rRNA from 1 species